GUUUUUUUGAAAAUAAUUUAAAGUUUAAUUUGCCCCCUGAAUAAUUUUAAAGGGCUGCAGUAUAUUGACUGUACAAAGGUAGCAUAAUCAAUAGUCUUUUAAUUGAAGACUUGUAUGAAUGAUUUGAUGAGAUAUAAACUGUCUCUUUAUUAAGUAUAGAAUUUAAUUUUUUAGUUAAAAAGCUAAAAUUUUUAUAAAAGACGAGAAGACCCUAUAGAUCUUUAUAUUUAUUUUUUUUAAAUUUGUUAUAUAAAAUUUUUGAUUUUUAUAAAAUAAAAUAUUUUAUUGGGGUGAUAGAAAAAUUUAAUAAACUUUUUUUUAAAAUUAAACAUUAAUUUAUGAAUUUUUGAUCCAUAAUUUAUGAUUAUAAGAAUAAGUUACCUUAGGGAUAACAGCGUAAUUUUUUUUUUUAGUUCAAAUAAAAAAAAGAGUUUGCGACCUCGAUGUUGGAUUAAAAUAAAAUUUAAAUGCAAAAGUUUAAAAUUUUGAUCUGUUCGAUCAUUAAAAUCUU
rnacentral:rRNA from 1 species